GGGCUCACACAAGCGGUGGAGCAUGUGGCUCAAUUCGAGGCUACGCGAAGAACCUUAUCCUGGGCUUGACAUGUCCGAAAGGGGUAGGAAGUAGGGGACGGAAACGCACCCCCAACGGUAUCCAGUCCGGAACCUACCACAGGUGCUGCAUGGCUGUCGUCAGCUCGUGUCGUGAGAUGUCGGGUUAAGUCCCAUAACGAGCGAAACCCUUGCCUCCAGUUGCCAUUAUUCAGUUAGGGACUCUGGAGGGACUGCCGGCGUCAAGCCGGAGGAAGGUGGGGAUGACGUCAAGUCCUCAUGGCCUUUAUGCCCAGGGCUGCACACGUGCUACAAUGGUGCGAACAAAGGGAUGCCAACUCGCGAGAGGGAGCCAAUCCCAAAAAACGCACCCCAGUUCAGAUCGAAGGCUGCAACUCGCCUUCGUGAAGUUGGAAUCGCUAGUAAUCGCGGGUCAGCAACACCGCGGUGAAUGUGUUCCUGAGCCUU
rnacentral:rRNA from 1 species